UACGGAGGGAGCUAGCGUUAUUCGGAAUUACUGGGCGUAAAGCGCACGUAGGCGGCUUUGUAAGUUAGAGGUGAAAGCCUGGAGCUCAACUCCAGAACUGCCUUUAAGACUGCAUCGCUUGAAUCCAGGAGAGGUGAGUGGAAUUCCGAGUGUAGAGGUGAAAUUCGUAGAUAUUCGGAAGAACACCAGUGGCGAAGGCGGC
rnacentral:rRNA from 1 species